rnacentral:rRNA from 1 species
UACAGAGGUCUCAAGCGUUGUUCGGAUUCAUUGGGCGUAAAGGGUGCGUAGGCGGCGCGGUAAGUCGGGUGUGAAAUCUUGGAGCUUAACUCCGAAACUGCAUUCGAUACUGCCGUGCUUGAGGACUGGAGAGGAGACUGGAAUUUACGGUGUAGCGGUGAAAUGCGUAGAUAUCGUAAGGAAGACCAGUGGCGAAGGCAGCUCGCUGGGACGUAACUGACGCUGAGACGCGAAAGCGUGGGGAGCAAACAGG